UCAGAUAGAACUCAAUAUAUAGC
rnacentral:snRNA from 1 species